GCCAAUCUCAGUUCGGAUUGUAGGCUGCAACUCGCCUACAUGAAGUUGUAAUCGCUAGUAAUCGCGAAUCAGAAUGUCGCGGUGAAUACGUUCCCGGGUCUUGUACACACCGCCCGUCACACCACGAGAGUUUACAACACCCGAAGUCAGUGGCCUAACCGCAAGGAGGGAGCUGCCUAAGGUGGGGUAGAUGAUUGGGGUGAAGUCGUAACAAGGUAGC
rnacentral:rRNA from 1 species